rnacentral:rRNA from 1 species
AGAUAACUUCUGGAAACUGGGGCUGCUACCGGACCCGGGCUCUCGCUGCUGGGUGGGGGUUGGAAAGUUUGUGCGGUUGGGGAUGGACUCGCGGCUUAUCAGCUUGUUGGUGGGGACCCGGCUUGGGGAGCUUUGACGGGCGCUCAGCCUCAGAGGGUGACCGGGAAUCUUGGUGAGAGAUACGCACCAGACUCCUACGGGAGGCAGCAGUGGGGAAUAUUGCACAAUGGGCGGAAGCCUGAUGCAGCAACGCCGCGUGCGGGAUGACGGCCUUCGGGUUGUAAACCGCUUUCGCCUGUGACGAAGCGUGAGUGACGGUAAUGGGUAAAGAAGCACCGGCUAACUACGUGCCAGCAGCCGCGGUGAUACGUAGGGUGCGAGCGUUGUCCGGAUUUAUUGGGCGUAAAGGGCUCGUAGGUGGUUGAUCGCGUCGGAAGUGUAAUCUUGGGGCUUAACCCUGAGCGUGCUUUCGAUACGGGUUGACUUGAGGAAGGUAGGGG